rnacentral:rRNA from 1 species
UACAGAGGUCCCGAGCGUUGUUCGGAUUCACUGGGCGUAAAGGGUGCGUAGGUGGUGAGGUAAGUCGGAUGUGAAAUCUCCGGGCUCAACCCGGAAACUGCAUUGGAAACUACCUUGCUUGAGGAUUUGAGGGGGGAUUGGAAUACUUGGUGUAGCAGUGAGAUGCGUAGAUAUCAAGUGGAACACCAGUGGCGAAGGCGAAUCCCUGGAAAAUACCUGACACUGAGGCACGAAAGCUAGGGGAGCAAACAGG